AAACCCCUAGAUUGUGUGUUCUGUGCUGAAAAUGAGACAAAUCAUCAUUUAUUGUUUGAUUGCAUAGUUGCCACGAGUGUAUGGUCCUUUGUCAGCCAUCACUUUGAAAUCGAGAUAGGCACAAAUUUCGAGUCUGUUGCUCGACUUUGGGUUUCUAACAAAAAGAACUUAGCUUUGAACAUUGUUAGCUCUGUCCUAUGGUGUUUGUGGAAAUAUAGGAACUCUAUGAUUUUUAACCACACCAUCUGGACCUCUAUUAUUCAGGUGUGGAGUUUGAUCCUCAGAAUGCUCAAAUUCUGGGUGAUGCUGACCCCAGAGGCUGGCAAGCCCAAGAUGGAGGCGUUGUUGAGCGCUCUGACAAAACUUCUCCAACAACCCUUGAGGAUCUUGAGUAGCUGA
rnacentral:rRNA from 1 species